GACGAACGCUGGCGGCGUGCCUAAUACAUGCAAGUCGAACGCAGUGGGGACGGGUGAGUAACACGUGGGUAACCUCCCCUCAGAGGGGAUAACACUUGGAAACAGGUGCUAAACCGAUACUGAUGGAUGGACCCGCGUUGCAUUAGCUAGUGGGUGGGGUAACGGCUCACCAAGGCCACGAUGCAUAGCCGACCUGAGAGGAUGAGCGGCCACACUGGGACUGAGACACGGCCCAGACUCCUACGGGAGGCAGCAGUAGGGAAUCUUGGGCAAUGGGCGAAAGUCUGACCGAGCAACGCCGCGUGAAUGAAGAAGGUUUUCGGGUCGUAAAGCUCUGUUGGUAGAGAAGCGGUAUCUAACCAAAAAGCCACGGCUAACUACGUGCCAGCAGCCGCGGUAAUAC
rnacentral:rRNA from 1 species